rnacentral:rRNA from 1 species
AUACGUAGGGUGCGAGCGUUAAUCGGAAUUGCUGGGCGUAAAGCGUGCGCAGGCGGUUGUGUAAGUCAGAUGUGAAAUCCCCGGGCUCAACCGUGGGAACUGCAUUUGAGACUGCACGGCUAGAGUGUGACAGAGGGGGUAGAAUUCCACGUGUAGCAGUGAAAUGCGUAGAGAUGUGGAGGAAUACCGAUGGCGAAGGCAGCCCCCUGGGUUACUACUGACGCUCGUGCACGAAAGCGUGGGGAGC